CGGCGUGCUUAACACAUGCAAGUCGAACGGAAAGGCCCUGCUUUUGUGGGGUGCUCGAGUGGCGAGCGGGUGAGUGACACGUGAGUAACCUGCCCUUGACUUUGGGAUAACUUCAGGAAACUGGCGCUAAUACCGGAUAGGAGCUUCUGCUGCAUGGUGGGGGUUGGAAAGCUUCGGCGGUUGGGGAUGGACUCGCAGCUUAUCAGCUUGUUGGUGGGGUAGUGGCUUACCGAGGCUUUGACGGGUAGCCGGCCUGAGAGGGUGACCGGCCACAUUGGGACUGAGAUACGGCCCAGACUCCUACGGGAGGCAGCAGUGGGGAAUAUUGCACAAUGGGCGGAAGCCUGAUGCAGCAACGCCGCGUGCGGGAUGACGGCCUUCGGGUUGUAAACCGCUUUCGCCUGUGACGAAGCGUGAGUGACGAUAAUGGGUAAAGAAGCACCGGCUAACUACGUGCCAGCAGCCGCGGUGAUACGUAGGGUGCGAGCGUUGUCCGGAUUUAUUGGGCGUAAAGGGCUCGUAGGUGGUUGACCGCGUCGGAAGUGUAAUCUUGGGGCUUAACCCUGAGCGUGCUUUCGAUACGGGUUGACUCGAGGAAGGUAGGGGAGAAUGGAAUUCCUGGUGGAGCGGUGGAAUGCGCAGAUAUCAGGAGGAACGCCAGUGGCGAAGGCGGUUCUCUGGGCCUUUCCUGACCUAGGC
rnacentral:rRNA from 1 species